CCUACGGGAGGCAGCAGUAAGGAAUAUUGGUCAAUGGACGCAAGUCUGAACCAGCCAUGCCGCGUGAAGGAUUAAGGUCCUCUGGAUUGUAAACUUCUUUUAUUUGGGACGAAAAAGGGCCUUUCUAGGUCAACUGACGGUACCAGAUGAAUAAGCACCGGCUAACUCCGUGCCAGCAGCCGCGGUAAUACGGAGGGUGCAAGCGUUAUCCGGAUUCACUGGGUUUAAAGGGUGCGUAGGCGGGUAGGUAAGUCAGUGGUGAAAUCCUGGAGCUCAACUCCAGAACUGCCAUUGAUACUAUUUAUCUUGAAUAUUGUGGAGGUAAGCGGAAUAUGUCAUGUAGCGGUGAAAUGCUUAGAUAUGACAUAGAACACCUAUUGCGAAGGCAGCUUACUACGCAUAUAUUGACGCUGAGGCACGAAAGCGUGGGGAUCAAACAGGAUUAGAUACCCUGGUAGUCCACGCCCUAAACUAUGAUUACUCGACAUUUGUGAUACACAAUAAGUGUNUGNGNGAAGANAUAAGUAAUACACCNGGAGUACGUCCGCGAGAGAGAACGUACGAAGAAGUUAGACGGACGUGAGACGUUGCCGACGGACGACGACGAGGGGAGGAGGG
rnacentral:rRNA from 1 species